UAAGACCGGAGCUAAUACCGGAUAAGAUAUCGAACCGCAUGGUUCGAUAGUGAAAGAUGGUUUUGCUAUCACUUAUAGAUGGACCCGCGCCGUAUUAGCUAGUUGGUGAGGUAACGGCUCACCAAGGCAACGAUACGUAGCCGACCUGAGAGGGUGAUCGGCCACACUGGAACUGAGACACGGUCCAGACUCCUACGGGAGGCAGCAGG
rnacentral:rRNA from 1 species